rnacentral:lncRNA from 1 species
CCAGAGGCAACAGAGACCCAAGCACUUACAACGAGAGUUAUUCAAUGCAGUACAUGCCUUCCUCUUUGCUUCCAAUACUUGGGGCCUGGCUGUGUUGACAGGUGAGAAGAGUCAUGCCAUCCCAGAGAGACAGCUUCCUACAAAAGAUAUCAAAGCUGAGGACUGAUACUUUCUGAGAAAAAGCUCUGGCCUCACCAGGCAGCAGGGCCAGCAGCUGUGAGAACAAUACAAGCGAGGAGGAACAAAACCUGCUGGUCCCCGGGGCUUGGACAUCUCAACCUCUGGAACUGUGAGACACGUGUUUCUGUUAUUUAUGUCACUCAACCAAUGACAUUUGUGUUCUGACAGCCUGAACAACAGAGGCAUAGGCAAAGAUAAAAACUAAGACAAAAAACAAAAAGCCUCAAGCUUAGAUAUAGUCAUUUCAAACUGUUUGCAUCACUUUUUCCAGAUUAAAAUCUUUCUUUAAUGUAAAACAUAGCCUUUCUUCUCUGUUG